rnacentral:rRNA from 1 species
AUUGAACGCUGGCGGCAGGCCUAACACAUGCAAGUCGAACGAGUGGCGGACGGGUGAGUAAUGUCUGGGAAACUGCCUGCUGGAGGGGGAUAACUACUGGAAACGGUAGCUAAUACCGCAUACCAUCAUAUGUUCCCAUAUUGGAUUAGCUAGUUGGUGGGUGAACGGCUCAACAAGGCGACGAUCCCUAGCUGGUCUGAGAGGAUGACCAGCCACACUGGAACUGAGACACGGUCCAGACUCCUACGGGAGGCAGCAGUGGGGAAUAUUGAACAAGGGGCGAAAGCCUGAUGCAGCCAUGCCGCGUGUGUGAAGAAGGCCUUCGGGUUGUAAAGUACUUUCAGCGGGGAGGCGUUACCCGCAGAAGAAGCACCGGCUAACUCCGUGCCAGCAGCCGCGGUAAUUC